rnacentral:lncRNA from 1 species
UUAGCCAAAAUGAGAGACCCAGAUUGUGCUAAAGCUUGGAUCAAAUCCAACGUACAAGCUUACUUACCAGCCACCAAAAUCACUUGCAUCACUGUCGGCAAUGAAGUUUUAACCUUUAAUGACACCUCACUCAGUGGCUGCUUACUUCCUGCAAUGGAAAGUGUUCACACAGCAUUAGUGAAUCUCGGACUUGACAAACAAGUUAGUGUCACUACAGCUCAUUCUCUAGGUGUUCUUGGAAACUCAUACCCGCCUUCAGCUGGAGCUUUCCGUAAAGAUCUGGUGGAUUGUAUGACACCCAUCUUGGACUUUCAUGUCAAAACUGCCUCUCCAUUUUUGAUUAAUGCUUACCCUUAUUUUGCUUACAAGGGUAGUCCAAAGCAGGUGUCUCUAGAUUUU